ensembl:misc_RNA 7SK 7SK RNA
AGACGUGGGGGCAAUCUGGCUGCUGCAUUUGUCAUCCCAUUGACUGGUUGAUUCUGCUGACCUGGCUAGCUCAGAGUGUCCUCCCCCCACUCCCCACCCCGUCCCCUCCAUGUGUACCUCUCAAGAACUUGCCUACCUGGUCAGAGAGCACGAUCUUCCCCAACAGAAGAGGACUCUUCUUCCAUCAAAGAUACCCUAGUAGCUGCACCCCGUGCUAGAAUCGCCAUACUCCAGGAAUCACACCCUCCAUUGUCAGUGGCUAGUGUAUGGCUACCUUCAGGCACAUGGGGGGGGGCUGGGGAUGGGCUGGUAAGGAUGGUCCUCCU